rnacentral:lncRNA from 1 species
UGUGUGGUUGAAAUUUAAAAAAAAAAGUUUAUUGAUUUGUAUAUAAAAUAUUUUACUAUGUGAAUAUGUGGUGGAGAAUGUUAUUAUAGCAAACAAUUUAUUUUGUUAAAGAACGUAAAACAGACGGAAAAAUAUCAAAGAGUACCACAUACUCAAUUCUAACACGAAGUACUAAAAUUAUCUUAACUAGGUGAAACUACUACAGAUGUCAAAAACUAUAUAUAAUACUUAGGAAAACAAAGAGGCUUCUAUAUAUAAGAGAAACAGAAGUAUUUUUACUUGACACGGGAUUAAAACUAAUCCAGUAAUUAACAGGAAUUAAAAGGCAUAACUUCUGGUCUUUGGUGAAUCUGCAAUUCUGAGAGUUUCUUGAAUGAGCUUUCGAGCCUUUCUGCUUCUUAUUUCCACUCUCAUGCUCUCACUCUUUUCAAUCUUGUCAUAUGAUUUCUUCAUCCUCAUACACCUCAUUACUUUCGACUUCAAGCUCCCCAUCAACCUUUCAAGCCCCAUAAUAAUAAGUUGACCUGUGAAAAGAAGUAGAAUUUUAGAGAGAGAGAGAGAAAGAGAGGAGCUUGAGAAGAACUAAGUGUGAGAAAAUAUGAAUGG